AUUUCCCUUCCCCAGGCAUGCCCCCACCCCCUGAGGUUUGUUCUUACAUGGACCUUUCCUCUUGGAAUUGGCCUCCCGACCCACCCUUCCUACAUAUGUUCCAACCUACCCCACCCCCUUCCUUUGUGAUUCCAAUCCCCGCCUUCCUUCAUGUGCGUGCCACCUGCUGUACAAUACACUGCCAGUAUCCGAAAGAAGAGCUGUGCGAAUGUCAAAGGCAACAUCCAGUGGCAGGACAAGGUCAUCCAUCACCACCAGGAGAGAGCAGAACUGGUACAAGAACAGUGACAUCUACAUCUCCUGAGUCCCACACAGGAAAUGGUCAUCUGCAUUGUGGGGCCAGCUGUGACAGAGCCCAUGACAUUUGGUGUCACUGAGAACAUUAAGAAUUUGAUUCAAGUGGCUUGCAAAUGGACAGGGCGAUUUAUAUUUAUAAUAGCUUCAAAUCAGAGAUAAGAUAUCAAUCUGCAGUUUUGACAGCAAAAAACAAUAAUAAAUGUAAUCAUCUGCCCUAGUCUGUAUUACUGUAUCACCUGAGUAUGAGUUUGAUACCAGAAAAUGUCAUGUUUGUCACAUGAAACAAACCCUCAAGCAGUUUUGAUAAAACUAACAUUUUGUUGUUAUUGUGAUAUCACUUGGUGAUGGUAGAAAUAUGGUUCUAACAUGAAGUUUGACAUAUUAUUUCUCUUAUGGGUGGUGUAGAAAUUUCUUACCCUCCUGAUUUAUAAUUCACACAUGACAAGAUGUGUAAAAGGAACGUAAGAACAGAGAUUAGUAAUAUUUGAUAAAUGAAUGCUGCGUUGUUCACUGAUGGCACAUUUAAAAAUGCUGGAACAUUGACAAGGAAUUCAUUCCCAAAUAGAACAAAAGUGAAAGCCAUGUGACCUGCUAUUUGAGUUUUGAAAUGCAGAAUGAUAAAAAGAUGACUGAAUAAUGAACUUUGAUCCAGUGUAUAAUUUGAUAUAAAUUGUAAGGUUGUAUUUGGAUUCCACGUUCUAGUUGUAUAGAGAGUUCCUGCAAUAAAUCUGCAAACGAGUGCAUCCAAAAUAGUCCACUUGUUUUACUGAAGACCUUGGAGUGAGAAAUGGUUAUGAAAGGACUGCCAUUGAAAUACAUUCUGUCAUUUUAAUUUUCAAUU